CUACGGGAUGCAGCAGUGGGGAAUAUUGGGCAAUGGGCGCAAGCCUGACCCAGCAACGCCGCGUGAGGGAAGAAUGUCUUCGGAUUGUAAACCUCUGUCCUUGGGGACGAAAAAAAUGACGGUACCCAAGGAGGAAGCUCCGGCUAACUACGUGCCAGCAGCCGCGGUAAUACGUAGGGAGCAAGCGUUGUCCGGAAUUAUUGGGCGUAAAGGGUGCGUAGGCGGCGCGGUAAGUCAGAUGUGAAAUCCCCGGGCUUAACUCGGGAGUUGCAUUUGAAACUACAGUGCUUGAGUAAAGAAGGGGUAAGUGGAAUGCCUAGUGUAGCGGUGGAAUGCGUAGAUAUUAGGAGGAACACCAGUGGCGAAGGCGACUUACUGGUCUUUUACUGACGCUGAGGCACGAAAGCGUGGGGAGCAAACAGGAUUAGAUACCCUAGUAGUC
rnacentral:rRNA from 1 species